UGGGGGAAUUUUUGGACAAUGGGGGAAACCCUGAUCCAGCCAUCCCGCGUGUGCGAUGAAGGCCUUCGGGUUGUAAAGCACUUUUGGCAGGAAAGAAACGUCGCGGGUUAAUACCCCGCGAAACUGACGGUACCUGCAGAAUAAGCACCGGCUAACUACGUGCCAGCAGCCGCGGUAAUACGUAGGGUGCAAGCGUUAAUCGGAAUUACUGGGCGUAAAGCGUGCGCAGGCGGUUCGGAAAGAAAGAUGUGAAAUCCCAGAGCUUAACUUUGGAACUGCAUUUUUAACUACCGGGCUAGAGUGUGUCAGAGGGAGGUGGAAUUCCGCGUGUAGCAGUGAAAUGCGUAGAUAUGCGGAGGAACACCGAUGGCGAAGGCAGCCUCCUGGGAUAACACUGACGCUCAUGCACGAAAGCGUGGGGAGCAAACAGGAUUAGAUACCCUGGUAGUCCACGCCCUAAACGAUGUCAACUAGCUGUUGGGGCCUUCGGGCCUUGGUAGCGCAGCUAACGCGUGAAGUUGACCGCCUGGGGAGUACGGUCGCAAGAUU
rnacentral:rRNA from 1 species